GCUAGCAAUAAGGUACUUCGAAUUUUCACCAUAUUUUUAUUACCAACACAUCGGCUAAGAAUGGACAUACGUUUUAACGUCAAACCGCGUAAGACUUGUAUCUGCUAAAUAAAUGCCAAAUUAUUGUUGAAUUUUAUCUAGUCUCGUAUUCAAGCGAAUAAAAGUACCUAAUCUGUUAUACGAAGUUGAUUCGAAAUUAUAGUUCUAAUGGAAAUUACUUAAUCUGUCGCUAAGUCUUCGUCUUCCUCUUCCUGUUUGUUGAUUUAUUCUUUUAAAACGUCCUGGCUGCCUUAACCUGAUUCUUUUUGCUGACAGACUGACAGAGCUCUACCCGAAGCUAUACUGCGCCAUAUAUUUUGCAGAUUGGUAUAGUAUUCCUUCAGCAACAUUCACGUCAUGGCUCUUAUAAUAGCAUUGAAAUAAUUUAGGAGGUAAAGCAGACGUAUGCUGAAACCCGCGAAUACACAUCUAAAAUGACUGCCAGUAGUGAAGUUUUAUCACACGUGCAACGGCAGUCAGUCAUCAGUAUUCAUAGAGGCUUUUCAGCCGAAACCCAGACGCACGCUUUAGCCCGGAUCCAGCAAGCAAAGGUCGAAUUUAACUAUAAUUCAGUAAUAGUUAGAGGAAGGGCUAAUAAAUAAGAAGCGAGGCUUUUAGUGUAUGCUACAUAUACGUAGGCGCUGGUUAAAUUAAUUCCACGGCAGCACCUAAAUAUGACGAGACAGUGGUUCGAAUCCGUGAACGGGCAAUAAUACCCAACAUGUGUUAAAAGGUAUUUUUCUAUCCAUAUUCAUUACGCCAGAUAUCAUCUGGGAUAAGAAUGUAUCGGUACUACAUAAAUUUUAGAUAAACUUAGAUCUGCAUAUUUGAAAAAAUCAAUGAGUAAUUAAAGUCAACGGUAGAUGUUUAUGCAUGAGCGAAAUCGUUUCCACUUUGUUUGAGACAAGCAACUUUAUCCACCAAUCAUUAACUAGAAGACAAAUUAUAGAUUUACACGCGUCUUCUGGAAUCCGAGCUGACAUUUUCAGUGGGUGUUCCUUUGCUAGCUUUUGUCAAGAAUGAAAAUUGCUAACGAAAACAUAUAACAUAGUGCGUUCCGAUGUAUUUUUAUCCGCUACUGAACUCGACUCAGUUCCUUCGGCGACUUAUGACCGAUAAUACGCAUUUGAAAUCUGUAGUAGUACACACAUACUUAGCAACUCGUACCUAAGUGACCAGUAGAACAUUUGUACCAAUAUCAAUUGAGGUCGUCAUAUGAACAGAUAGACAGAUAUUACAUUAAUAUUGCGUCAUUGUCACGACAUUGUCGUAUCCGACGAAACCUGGAUUCGGGACGCUUUAGCGGGGACAACUUGGUCACGACUCCGCUGUUGCGCCUCAUAAUAAAAAUAAUCGCUCUACACUGAGCUGGAACAUAUGAUAACUUCUACAAACUAAUUCUUACAUAAAAACGCAAUAUGUUACAUUACUAUUAUAUUAUAUACAAAUAAUAUGAAGUAUAUAUUGCGUUAUUAGCGUUAAUUCGUAUAUUGUGACUCCCAUUUCAACGAGAAAUCUAACAGCAGAUUUUCCCACUUGCCAAACCCGCUAAAUUCAAAAGCUGAAGGGUUAACGAACCCGCUAAAUGUACCGUAUAUGAUUUAGCGCAUAUUGUAAACACGACUGCUUAACACGUUACGGUACACCACAUUCAAAGCAGACAGAGCAGUCCACGUGCCAGGUUUACUUGUACUCUAACGCAUCGAAUACAGUUAACAAUUUUUCGUAGUUAAAUCAACGUAUUGCAUACUUCCGCUUACAAUUUCUAUAUAAAACAUUUUGGCUUACGUCGAAUUAUGAGCUGCGAGCUGCUCGACGACCCUGGAAACACUGCCGUGGAAUAUACUGACAGUGGCAGUUCGGCUUUUUAUUGCAAACCGGAUUCGAAACGUGUCUAAGCACGACUAUUAUACGAGAUGCAUCCUGUUAACGCGCGGCUUGGUCUUCGCUGUAUAUUCCUACGCUUUGCUCUGUCUCACAACAGCAGCUACCGUAGAUUAUCUUGGUAAAUCAAACCCAUUGCAUAUCUGACAUCGAAAAUCGUAUGGGGGUACCUUCGCUUCCCUAUGGAAACCCGAAUAUAAAUAUGGAGUAGAGAACGGGAACACCUAUGAAGGUUCCAGAGGUUUCCCGUAAAACUAUGCAAUACGCAAGCCAUCGACUUUGCCUCAACCAUUAAGCGCUACACAAUCGUCAUGUACCAUUCUUCAACCAAUAUCGCUUCCGCAUAAUCUCUUCUUGCAGCAUAAUUUCAGCCAGCAACGAGAACCGUGUGUUCGACGAGCGUGCUGAACGACAUGAACGGAACCGGCAAGGAACCUGCCGAGCUUCGCCAGGGACAGACAGAUGGGUGAGUCAAGUAGAAAUAUUUGUACGGCAGAGGCAAAUAUGAAAAUUAGGUUGUGUCGGAAUCGGUUAGGAAAUCCAAUUGCGUCGCCCAACGUGGACUCGUGGCGUGCAGACUUCACUGAGACUUGGUUGACGAAAUCUGCACAUAGCAGAUUAAAGGGCAGUCAGGGCGGAUGUUCGUUACGCGGUGUCGAUUAUUUAAAACGAACGAACAAACAAAGCAGCAAGAAGCCAAGACUGAAUUUGAAGGUGACAUGCUAUGAAGGAGAACGGCUUGCUGAUGAGAUAUCUAUGCCUUAUGCGCGUACUAGCCGGAUACACACACAUAUGUCGAUAAAUACGCAAAGCUUCCAGUUGAUGAAUGCUCUGUGAAGAUCCAAACAAGAUAAUUUACGUUACUUUAUUUUUUGUUUCGUUUCGAGGCAAUCACCCAUACGACGCUUAAUUCGCUGUUUUAAAUUUUUUAGUAUCUUAUUUAUACCAAUAAGUCCUCAAAAUCGUCGCUGUUUAUAUAUUGCAUAAAGAACUUGCUUCGCUAAGAGCACUACCUGACUAACCCUUUCUAGACCAAUCUGAGGUUUCUCCGACAGAUCUAUGAAGCGGGAUGAAAAACCACACAAGCAGCUACCAACCUGAAUAAGAAUUUUUUUAUCUUCCUUAUUUUUUUGAUUGUGACUCUCUAGUAGUGAUUUUUCCCCAACGCUGGGAUUUGGGUUAGCGUUGCAACUUGUUUAUUAUUAACUAUGGGUACCAUGGUAGCUCACAUAAAACGAUACGUAUUAGUCACCCAGACGACGCGGCUUCUAGUUCCAAGAAAAUCCAAGCCUGCUAUUGCUAUUAUUAUAUAUCUUCAUCACAAUAGGAAAUGAGCGAUGCCGUAUGCUACAACAAAUGUCAUUUCCAAAGUUAUUUACCAUCUUGCUUGCAUACUUUCAUGAACACUUCAGAGUUAUCUUUUUUCUAAAUCAACAUCACCUUUGUCCUGUGCUCUGGAAGCGACCCACUCAGCAGCGGAUAAAUGGGUGAACAUUGCCCACAGGGAAAAGCUAAAAUAUCUGGAAUUCUACAUCACCAGGUUCCAAAGACGUCUCAGUAAUUAGCUGACCGAGUCUUGCGCUAAUUUCUGCCCUCAUAUCAACUAAUCGGCAAAUACGUUACAAUUCAGACAUUGCAUACACGUAUGGCUAAUGAAUGAAAACAGUAAUUAUAUAAGAUUUUUCAAUGUUCUUGCUUGUUUCAUUAAAUAUUCUAUCCUCUUAAUUUAGUUAUUACUACCUGAUGUUAUGUGUGGGUUUAUUCGCGCUAUCAGUUGAGUCAUCUUGGCUUGUACGUGUCAGCCUGUCACCUUUUAUCGCAUAUUUUCCAUAGUUCUCUCGUGAAUGAGUGUUGCACCUUUCUAGCUACUGAUCAUAUUUUCGAGUAAUCCUUGUUAGAAAAUAUUGAUGCUUAAUUCAUCUGUUUGCCAUCAGCGCCGUUUACGCUGCGUUAUUCAGUUCAGACAUUUUACGCCGAACCGUCUCCGAUGUCGGAAACAACAAACGCCUGAUAUGAUCAUUCCAUGACAUCGACUUUCUGUGUACGUAUCAGAUUCGAUGCUAACUACUUCUCACACUAAUGCUAUUCGCUUGUUUAAUAUGUCUAUUUCGCUCUUUAGUAUUACCCCUUUACUUCUAUACCGUAACCGUAUUCACUGUUGUUGCAUCAAAGUAACGAACAUUGUCGUAGUGUCAAUUGUAAUCUUUGCUUAUGAUUUUCAUUGUUCUAUAUAUGACGAUAUAUUAUGUCCAUAAGACCUUGCUUUUCUUGCCUACAAUGGAACGCGCCCACAUUUUCACCAAUGCGUUACUUAUCGGGCCCUAGGUCAAAUGAAAGUGGGUUGGUUACCUUCUGCGCACACACUUCUAAGCGUUUUCGUGCUAUUUAUGUAAAAAUGCGCUGGCGGAUAGGUUGUUCAGGAAAUCAGCUUAUCAAUCGGAUUAUCCAGAGUCAAGAAAAGGCAAUGAUAUUUAACAAACUGAUAUUAUUUUAGCAUCCUUUGAGCCUCUUUUAAGCCUCUCUUUGAUCCUCUCUUGCUAUCAUUGUUGUUAGCGUGAGCGCGCUACCUAAACGAAAAGCAAAAUAUGAGAGAUUUCCUACCACUGACAAAUGCCCGGUCGAAAUAUUGACAGGGUUACUAGGAAUCAUGAACAACCCAAAAAAAAGACGUGUACUAGCGAAACAGCUAUAAGGACGACACGUCAGGGGAUUUCGGUCGCAACAUGUUCGAUACCUUAAACGUGGCAACUAUUAGCAGCUAGGUAAGACUAAAUUUACUUGAUUUAAUUUGUGCUCAAAAUCAUCAAAAAAUUAGCGUGUGUUACCGCACUAGGCUACCAUGGCGAUGGCUUAACGCCCACUCAAUGGAAUGGUAGAUUGGAUUAACGACAAUAAUUACUUUUGCAAGUAUAGCGGAUAAUAAGAACAAAUCUGAAAAAGAACAGGACUGAAAAAAGCGUUUUUAUAGAGCAAUCACGUGUAGGUCCCGAUCAAAUACACUGCACUGUCUAGUGACGAUUAUAUAUAGUUUGUGAGCAAUGUUUACGUAGAUUGGCUCAUACGCCCAAGCUCGAUAACAUUAUAGUGAUAGCUUUUGGAUAAUUUCUUAAAUCUGAGUGGAAAUCAUAUUGACUUUGAGUGAAAACAAUAUUCUAUUUGCCCAAAUUCAAGUAUCUAUCGAGUGUUUAAGAUCAAUCAGCGCUACUCACCUAUCAAAAGCUCUGCGGUAAAUUGCCUAAUACGAUUCUGUACUAUACGCGUCAUAUCAUAAUACCAGGUACGCAUUGACUACAAUCGAUCAGUCUCAGGCUAGACUAAAUUCGUUCGAUCACAUUUCAUUUUCCUAUAAUAUCAUCAUUUUAUAUAUAUAUAUAUAUAUAUAUAUGG
rnacentral:lncRNA from 1 species